rnacentral:rRNA from 1 species
AUUGAACGCUGGCGGCAGGCCUAACACAUGCAAGUCGAGCGAGUGGCGGACGGGAGGGUAAUGUCUGUGAAAGGGCCUGGUGGAGGGGGACAACAAAUGGGAACUGUAGCUACUACCGCCUACAAUCGGAUGUGCCCAGGUGGCUUGAGCUAGUGGGUGGGGUAACGGCGCACGAAGGCGACGAUCCGUAGCUGGUCUGAGAGGAUGAACAGCCACACUGGAACGGAGACACGGUCCAGACUCCUACGGGAGGCAGCAGUGGGGAAUAUUGGACAAUGGGCGAAAGCCUGAUGCAGCCAUGCCGCGUGUAUGAAGAAGGCCUUCGGGUUGUAAAGUACUUUAAGCUGGGAGGCGUUACCAGCAGAAUAAGCACCGGCUAACUCCGUGCCAGCAGCCGCGGUAAUAC